UAGCAAGUUGUAAACAAGUUUCUGUCAAUAG
rnacentral:piRNA from 1 species